AGUGCCAUCGCGCGGAGAGGAGGGGGUGCGCUUCCGCGGGCGGGGCGCGGAGCCCGCCGUCUCGGAGGCCGCGGCUCGGCCCGGCACUGCGGAGGGCCGCUUGAUUUCCCGGAACCCAGGUCGCGCGGCUGCUAGGGCCGGAGCCGGUGGAUCCGAGCGGGUGCCACCAGCGGCGGCGCGCCGCCUCCCCCGGUGGGAGCGGUGGUUGGGCCAGGCUGCGGCAGAGCGUUCGCUCGGAGAUGGCGGAGCAGCCGCGACGCGGCCCGUGGCCCCGAAAGCAGGGAAGCCGGGCAGCCCCGGGACGCGGCGGAGCCCGGGGACAGCGGGGACGCCGCCCAGUCCUCCGGGUAUGAAGCUAAAAUGCAGCGGCUAAGAACGCGGCUCUGGAGCUUGACAGGCCUGACGUCGAAUCCCAGCCCUCCCACCAACUGAGCUGUGUGAUCCUGGGCAAGGUAGAGGGGAAGAGAUUGAACUUUGCUGACCUUUGAUGUGAGGCGCUCAGCCAGGGCCAAGGGGAGAGCCUGGCAAGAUUUGCAGCCUGAAGCCAUGGGCCAGGGGGCCAUGGUGACCUGAGACAAGUGGACUCUGUAUAGUUGCCCCCUGCUUCCCCUUCUACCUCCCCUACCCUAUGCUAAGGGGACUCGUCUCCACCUCGUAAAGGAAACUCCCCAAGGGAAUCCCUGUCCCCUAUUUUCCUAUCCUUCUACCCUUCCAAGACAGUCCUAGCCUAUAGAACUCCUACCUCCCAUCCCCUGAGGUGGUCCCCAUUCCUCCCUCCCUUCCUCCCCCCGCCAUGCUCCAGUUGUGGAAGGUGGUACGCCCAGCUCGGCAGCUGGAACUGCACCGCCUCAUACUGCUGCUGAUCGCUUUCAGCCUGGGCUCCAUGGGCUUCCUGGCUUAUUAUGUGUCCACCAGCCCUAAGGCCAAGGAACCCUUGCCCCUGCCCUUGGGAGACUGCAGCAGCGGUGGGGCAGCUGGUCCUGGCCCUGCACGGCCUCCAGUUCCACCUCGGCCCCCCAGGCCUCCAGAGACAGCUCGAACUGAACCCGUGGUCCUUGUGUUUGUGGAGAGUGCAUACUCACAGCUGGGGCAGGAAAUUGUGGCCAUCCUGGAGUCUAGUCGUUUUCGUUAUAGCACUGAGUUGGCACCUGGCCGAGGGGACAUGCCCACAUUGACUGAUAAUACCCAUGGCCGCUAUGUCUUGGUCAUUUAUGAGAACCUGCUCAAGUAUGUCAACCUGGAUGCCUGGAGUCGGGAACUGCUAGACCGGUACUGCGUGGAGUAUGGUGUGGGCAUCAUUGGCUUUUUCCGAGCCCACGAGCACAGCCUACUGAGCGCCCAGCUCAAGGGCUUUCCCCUUUUUUUACACUCAAACUUGGGGCUCCGGGACUACCAAGUGAAUCCUUCUGCCCCGCUACUGCAUCUCACACGCCCCAGCCGCCUAGAACCAGGGCCACUGCCUGGUGAUGACUGGACCAUCUUCCAAUCCAAUCAUAGUACAUAUGAACCAGUGCUUCUUGCCAGCCUUCGGCCAGCUGAGCCCGCAGUGCCAGGACCAGUUCUUCGUCGGGCCCGGCUUCCCACUGUGGUACAGGACCUGGGGCUUCAUGAUGGCAUCCAGCGGGUGCUCUUUGGACAUGGCCUUUCCUUCUGGCUCCACAAACUUAUCUUCGUUGAUGCUGUUGCAUACCUCACUGGCAAGCGCCUCUGCCUGGACCUUGACCGCUACAUCUUGGUAGACAUCGAUGACAUCUUUGUGGGCAAGGAAGGGACCCGCAUGAAGGUGGCUGAUGUUGAGGCUCUGUUGACCACCCAGAACAAACUCAGGACCUUAGUUCCCAACUUCACCUUCAACUUGGGCUUCUCGGGCAAGUUCUAUCAUACUGGGACAGAGGAGGAGGAUGCAGGGGACGACAUGCUGCUGAAGCACCGCAAAGAGUUCUGGUGGUUCCCCCACAUGUGGAGCCACAUGCAGCCACACCUGUUCCACAAUCGCUCCGUGCUGGCUGACCAGAUGAGGCUCAACAAACAGUUUGCUCUGGUCCUGGUGAGAGUCUAUGCCAUUCCCAGGAGCAUGGGAUUCCCACGGACCUGGGGUAUGCUGUGGCCCCCCACCACUCGGGUGUGUACCCCAUCCACACGCAGCUCUAUGAGGCCUGGAAAUCCGUGUGGGGCAUCCAGGUGACCAGCACUGAGGAGUAUCCCCAUCUCCGCCCUGCCCGCUACCGCCGUGGCUUCAUUCACAAUGGCAUUAUGGUGCUGCCCCGGCAGACAUGUGGCCUCUUCACUCACACAAUCUUCUAUAAUGAGUAUCCUGGAGGCUCUCGUGAACUAGACCGGAGCAUCCGAGGUGGAGAGCUCUUUCUGACAGUGCUGCUUAAUCCGAUCAGCAUCUUUAUGACCCAUCUGUCCAAUUAUGGAAAUGACCGGCUGGGCCUAUACACCUUUGAGAGCUUGGUGCGCUUCCUCCAGUGUUGGACACGGCUGCGCCUACAGACCCUUCCUCCUGUCCCACUUGCACAGAAGUACUUUGAACUUUUCCCUCAGGAGCGAAGCCCCCUUUGGCAGAAUCCCUGUGAUGACAAGAGGCACAAAGAUAUCUGGUCCAAGGAGAAAACCUGUGAUCGUCUCCCGAAGUUCCUCAUUGUGGGACCCCAGAAAACAGGGACUACAGCUAUUCACUUCUUCCUGAGCCUGCACCCAGCUGUAACUAGCAGCUUCCCUAGCCCCAGCACAUUUGAGGAGAUUCAGUUCUUCAACAGCCCUAAUUACCACAAGGGUAUUGACUGGUACAUGGAUUUCUUCCCUGUUCCUUCCAAUGCCAGCACUGAUUUCCUAUUUGAAAAAAGUGCCACCUACUUUGACUCUGAAGUUGUACCACGGCGGGGGGCUGCCCUCCUGCCACGAGCCAAGAUCAUCACAGUGCUCACCAACCCUGCUGACAGGGCCUACUCCUGGUACCAGCAUCAGCGAGCCCAUGGAGACCCAGUUGCUCUGAACUAUACCUUCUAUCAGGUGAUUUCAGCCUCCUCCCAGACCCCUCUGGCACUACGCUCCCUGCAGAACCGCUGUCUUGUCCCUGGCUACUAUUCUACCCAUCUACAACGCUGGCUGACUUACUACCCCUCUGGACAGUUGCUGAUUGUGGAUGGGCAAGAGCUGCGUACCAACCCAGCAGCCUCAAUGGAGAGCAUCCAGAAGUUCCUGGGUAUCACACCCUUUCUGAACUACACACGGACCCUCAGGUUUGAUGAUGAUAAGGGAUUUUGGUGCCAGGGACUUGAAGGUGGUAAGACUCGCUGUCUAGGCCGGAGCAAAGGCCGGAGGUAUCCAGAUAUGGACACUGAGUCCCGUCUUUUCCUUACGGAUUUUUUCCGGAACCAUAAUUUGGAGUUGUCGAAGCUGCUGAGCCGGCUUGGACAGCCAGUGCCCUCGUGGCUUCGGGAAGAACUGCAGCAUUCCAGUCUGGGCUGAUGUCCCAGCCUCCCAUACCAGCAAAAUGCCCCCUGCUUCCCUAAGGGGCAGGUCCAGAGCAGGGCCCACAAGGGGGAUUAGAGUGGCCUGGCCCCUCCCCCUCUACCUCAGUAGCCCCCAGGCCUGAGAUGGCUGAGAAGGGAAGGGUAUCCUUUUCCCACAGUUCUGGGACAAAUAAAGGGGCUUCCUUUGGUACCCCACAUAAUAGUGCUAGGUACCUUUGACCCAUCAUCUUGGGAGGUGGGGAGGAAUGAGAGGGUCCAGGCAGGGUGUAGGGGAAUGUAUUAGUCCAAUGAGAUUUCCCUCUUCAUCCGCAGCAGUGUAUCUAUUCUAUACCUGGCUAUGGGAGAGACCCCUUGCAUGGGAGGGACCCCUUGCUAUGGCCCCUUUAGCCAGGCAGUGGGAUCUACCUGUGGCCCGGCCUCCCUAAUGUCAUUCACAUUGAAUGGGGAUGAGGUCGGACAGUGGCUCAUAGAGCCGAGUAUGAGCCCUAGCUGUGGGCUAGAAAUGUCCUUAAUAAACAUCCUUAUUUUUC